rnacentral:rRNA from 1 species
UGGGGAAUCUUGCACAAUGGGGGCAACCCUGAUGCAGCGACGCCGCGUGAGCGAUGAAGGUUUUCGAAUCGUAAAGCUCUGUCCUAUGGGAAGAUAAUGACGGUACCAUAGGAGGAAGCCCCGGCUAACUACGUGCCAGCAGCCGCGGUAAUACGCAGGGGGCGAGCGUUGUCCGGAAUUACUGGGCGUAAAGGGUUCGCAGGCGGCAUGGCAAGUCCGAUGUAAAAGGCGAAGGCUCAACCUUCGUAAGCAUCGGAAACUGUCAAGCUUAAGUGAAGGAGAGGCAAGUGGGAUUCCUAGUGUAGCGGUGGAAUGCGUAAAUAUUAGGAGGGAUACCGGUGGCGAAGGCGACUUGCUGGACUUCAACUGACGCUGAAGAACGAAAGCGGGGGUAGCAAACAGG